AUACGGCGGGUCCGAGCGUUAUCCGGAAUCAUUGGGUUUAAAGGGUCCGUAGGCGGGAAUCUAAGUCAGUGGUGAAAUCUUGCAGCUCAACUGUAAAAUUGCCAUUGAUACUGGAUUUCUUGAAUUAGUGUGAAGUGGUUAGAAUGUGUAGUGUAGCGGUGAAAUGCAUAGAUAUUACACAGAAUACCAAUUGCGAAGGCAGAUCACUAACACUAUAUUGACGCUAAGGGACGAAAGCGUGGGGAGCGAACAGGAUUAGAUACCCGAGUAGUCC
rnacentral:rRNA from 1 species